rnacentral:misc_RNA from 1 species
AACGCACCUUGCGCUCCUUGGUAUUCCGAGGAGCAUGCCUGUUUGAGUGUCAUUAAAUUCUCAACCUUUAUUAACUUUUUGGUUAGUAAGUGGAUUGGAAGUGGGGGCAUGUUGGUUUCUUCAUUGAAAUAAACUCCCCUGAAAUGCAUUAGCUGGUUGCCUUGUGCGAACAUGUCUAUUGGUGUGAUAAUUAUCUACGCCGUGGGCUAUUUGCCGUUUAUAGCACUGCUUAUAAUCGUCUGUUUAUUCAGACAAUAUAUGACAAUUUGACCUCAAAUCAGGUAGGACUACCCGCUGAACUUAA